AGUGAACGCUGGCGGUAGGCCUAACACAUGCAAGUCGAACGGCAGCACAGUAAGAGCUUGCUCUUACGGGUGGCGAGUGGCGGACGGGUGAGGAAUACAUCGGAAUCUACUUUUUCGUGGGGGAUAACGUAGGGAAACUUACGCUAAUACCGCAUACGACCUACGGGUGAAAGCAGGGGAUCUUCGGACCUUGCGCGAUUGAAUGAGCCGAUGUCGGAUUAGCUAGUUGGCGGGGUAAAGGCCCACCAAGGCGACGAUCCGUAGCUGGUCUGAGAGGAUGAUCAGGCACACUGGAACUGAGACACGGUCCAGACUCCUACGGGAGGCAGCAGUGGGGAAUAUUGGACAAUGGGCGCAAGCCUGAUCCAGCCAUACCGCGUGGGUGAAGAAGGCCUUCGGGUUGUAAAGCCCUUUUGUUGGGAAAGAAAAGCAGCAGGUUAAUACGCCGCUGUUCUGACGGUACCCAAAGAAUAAGCACCGGCUAACUUCGUG
rnacentral:rRNA from 1 species